UGUGGAAUUGUGGCAAUGACCUUUUUUCUUUGCACAAGAGUCAUAAUACCAGCUUACCUACCUUAGCUGCAGUUAACAGCAUGACGGAGGUGAGCAUCUGCACAGGGAAGUUACUGCAUGAAUCAUCCACCCUGUAGAAAUCCUGUCCACCCUGCAAAAAUGUUAUCAGAGGUUGUCUUGCCACAGCCAUGUGAUGAAAACAACAUAUUCAUCCUACUACUAAGGCACAAGGAUGGAGAAAAACUGCAAAGCUGAAAUAAGGGCGUGCAUCUGGAAACAGUCCGCUGAAGUUCUGCACACUCUUAACUGCAUCACUGAUUAUUAUAGAGCAAUUAGCACUCUUGAGUAACUGUUCUUCA